UGAAGGUGGACAUGGAGAUGGUUGGUGUGAAAGUAGAGGAGGCAAUGGAUAGGGCAAGAUGGAGGCAGAUGAUCCGCUGUGGCGACCCCUAAAGGGAGCAGCCGAAAGAAGAAGAUCAAUACUUUUACAGCUUCAGUAACUGCAGCCUCAGAUAGCAGUAUUUGUUAGCUAAUAACUCUGAUGAACAUCAGGCUGUUUUCAUUGCCAGUUCAUUUUCUAAAGAUGCACCACAGUUGUGUGAUUUUGUAUCUCAUUCAUUUGGUUCUGAAGGUGGACUACAAGGGCUAAAGUGGACAAAAUUACACACGUGGUGGUUGUUUAGUGAUCAGAAGUUUUGCAGGGAUAUAAGUGCUUUUUUGCUAAAUCAGACCAUUAUUUCUACAGAAAUAAGAUAAUAAAAUAUGGUGCAUGUUUGUUAAAAAUGUUUAUUUUAAGGUAAAACAUUUGUUUAAAUAUCCCAUAAAUUACUGUCAUUUUAUGCAAUGUCCUUGAGAAUCUGACACUUUAUGCGCUAUAUGCAAAGGAAAACUAAAACAACUGGAAAAAUUUAUUUCUUGAAAAAAGUCAAGCAAAUGCUGUGUAAUGCUAGCAAUCACCUGUCGUUGCCAGUGUUUAUUAGAUGGGUGAAAGGAUGUUGCUAAACUUCAGGUAAAUUUAAUACUUAUAAUUAAUCCCAUCUCAUUGCAGGGAGGCUGCCUGAACUAUUUAAAGUAUUUUUUACAGGACUCACGCAUGCGCGCUCAAGUACUUGGGCAGAGCAGCUUUUGAGCGAACACAAUAGCGUAACUGAUUCUCUAUAAAAACAGCGCCACAUAACGGAGAAAAUAAAAAACUAUUUAGUCGAUUCAAGCUAGGCUGCUGUGUCUCAUUGCAUGGCAUACUGGAUACUGGGAAAGAUUUCACCUGUACUCAGGAAAGCACAUUACACCCGUAUUGAGCUGUCAUCAACGUUUAGCAGAGGUGGGAACUGUGCGCCUAGAGCCGCUUUUGGAAACUUCAGAAGGAAGACGUGUUUGGUGAGUAAAUUAUUGACUUACUUGACGUAGCAUUAGUUUUUCAAUUAGAUAUUUAUUCAAACCUAUCCUAGAAUUUAUGAAUACUGAACUUUCCAUAUGUGAAAACGAAAAUAAACAUUACUUGCUAACCGUUAGUUAGCCAUCAUAUACAAUUUUGGUAGGCUAGCGAGUGACCACUUUUAGAUGACUUGUUUGUUCUUACACAAUAUGAGAAGUAUGAAAAAUUACAAAUUUGAAGUGAGGCAGUGUCGAAUUUCUGGUGUGUAAACUUACUAGAGUUGCUAGCUACGCUAAGUAACCUAGCUUAGCUACGUAGCACAAGCUUAGGCUAAGUUAAUAGCUCUGCUGUAUCACAGGUUCAUUCCACCUAAAGACCUCAGUAUAUUUCUUGCAAAACAAAAUUCUCGCUGUAGAAAGCCAAAAGCACAUUUGUGAGCUUACAGGCUCGCAUAACGUCAAUUUCUACGGUUUUGUGUUGCCUGUUGCUGAUGCUCCACGUGACACUUUGACAUUUAGUGACACGUUUCAUGACUGCUGGUAAACGAUUCUUUCAAUGUUCUAACUAUGACAACGUUUAAAUUCAGAAUACUGCCACCAUUUAAAGAGGAACAGGGAAAUUCAGACAAGAAGCUGGUGAAUACAAAACCAACUUCAGCCUUGUCCUCUUGUCAGCCUAAAUAUAUGAUAACCAUGUUGUAUGUUAAGCACUAGGUAGUAUUACAGAUAUAGAUUACAGAUAACAGAUGUAACAUCUUGCAUUUAGGAGACAUUCAUUGUUUAUUUAACAAUUGCACGUUUCUCAGUAAAAUCUUAGUGUAUCUGCCAAAGCCGAAGCUCCUUAGUCUUUAUUUCAUGGCACGUGUCGUUUUAACUGACCAAUCACAGGCCCUGUUCAUUUUCUCCGCAAUUAUGUCAUUGUUUGCUGAAGCCAGGGGAACAUGUCUCUGCAGGAAGUAUGCUGAAGUCUUAGCUUGUGCUAACCCAUGAUGAAUACAGGCUCCAAUCUGAAUGGGAGACGCCUAGUAACUGGUGUUGGAGUGACAGAAAAGCAGAAAUUAGCUAGCUACCUGCACUAUGUGAUGUGUGGAGCUGUUGGCUUGGUGGCCAGCAGGCUAAUGGGUUCUCACACCACAGAGCACACUCCAUGCCUCUCUAGAGAACUUGCAGAGAGAAGAAUUACCACUAUGCAAUGUCUUACCGUUUUCUCAAAUGCCAGAGGGAGCUCCUGAGUGAGUCCAAAAUGAAUGGGUUGAUAUGAAGCAUUUGAGCAAAAUCAUAGUUUAUAAGUACUUAAACAUUUUUAAUGUAAAAACAAAACAUUCAUUUCCUGAACACUGAAUAUUAUAAAACAUUUUAACACUGCAGUAGGAGGUGGACGGGCUCCUCAUAAAAUUGUGGACUUUGGACAUUAGCAAGAUUAACUAGCAGGCUGACUUCACAGUGUGUGGCUCCAGACAUUAACUGUUCAUGUCUGUAGCCACAUGUGUCUUCCUAACAAAGUAUUUAUCAAAAUUACAUUUUCUGUGGUAAUUGCAGUGGUUGUUGCCUGAAUGCCUUUAUACAAGUAAUUAAUAAGUAUUUCUGCUUUUCAAGUUAGAAACACCUGUCUUUCACAACAACUAAGAAGUGUGUACUUUGUCCACCUUGCUUCUUGUUGACCAUCUACUCCCAAAGAAGACAAAAAAAAAUUCUAAGUCAUAAGGAAUCCAUCUUCACAAACCACAAGUGACAAUGAAAUUUACCAGAGACAUUCACAUUUGUUAAGAGCGGAGUAUAUUUAGCAAAGAGGGUCAUGCCAGUCCACAGUGAACACCUGAUGGACAACAUAUGAGUUCUGGUGACAAUACACACCAAGUUUGUCAUAAUCCAACAUCUUGUCUGUGUGAUACUCUUAUCCCAUGUUGAGCACCUUUUUCGGAUUCUUGAUCAAUCAGGGCAGAUGGCAAAUUUUUUAUCGUGAUGUUUAUUCAUUCCACCAUGGAUUAUCCUUUAUACAUAUGGAUACAUGCUGUUUUUUAACAUCUCAGCACUGCUUUAUGAUUUUCCUGGACAAGUUAUUGGAUCAUGCAAAAAAAGUUUCUUAAAGGUUAUCAGAAUAGUCUGUUAUUUGUUAUUUUCUUUGUAAUAUAUCAGAAGUGGUUAUUGUCUGUUAAAUCUAUGCUAAUUGUAAUUGUGUGUGUGUGUGUGUGUGUGUGUGUGUGUGUGUGUGUGUGUGUGUGUGUGUGUUGCCAGUAAUUUACUGUGAAGUUGAGCUUUGCAAUAAAAUACUGUAAUGAGUCA